rnacentral:tRNA from 1 species
AAAGCUGUGGCCGAGUGGUUAAGGCGUUGGACUCAAGUUCCAAUGGCCGUUAGUCCUCGUGAGUUCGAACCCAUUCGCCCUG